rnacentral:antisense_RNA from 1 species
UGUGGGAGCGGGCUUGCUCGCGAAAGCGGUGUGUCAGUCGCCAUCAUUAUUGCUGACCUGCCGCCUUCGCGAGCAAGCCCGCUCCCACA